UUAUAUAAUCGAAAGCCAAAUCCUGAAUCCCGGAUUUCCGCAUUUAGAAAAUGAACAACGUUGUUAAUUUUUCCGAAGGUUAUUAGAGGUAAACCGUAUACGAAGACCCUAUUGAAUUUUUUUUUGUCAAAACAGAGAAGAUCGUGAAGAAGAAAAAGCCACGAGAAAGUUGGUAUCAAAUUGAAAUGUUAAUGAAAUAUCGAUUGUUGCGGCAUCAGUUCAUAUAAAUGGAAUAAUAGAUUAUUCGAGAUGGAUUGAAUUAGCUGUUGUUGCAUGCAAUGGUGCUGUGGUUGGAUUUGAAUUCAAAUUUAGGGAGAAAUGAAGAUGGUGCUUAGGUAGUGGUUGGUACAGAACAUGGGGAUUAGUAUGGGUCGAAGACGUGAUUUUGCGGCUACAGAGAAGUCGAUGCAUUUGUUGGAAAAAUGGGUUGUGUUUAGAAUUGGAAUUGAUUGAUUGAGCUGGUUGUUAUGGAAUUAAUUUAUUUGCUUUGAAUUCAUAGUGGAGGUGAUGUUCAGUUGGUUACAGAACAAGUAGGUGGCUGCAGUUGGAGUUAGGAAAAGUUUGGGUCAAUUUCAAUUGAAGCAGUGGUGGUUGUAUGUGUUUGAUGCAUGAUUGCGGGCGGUUAAUUCAUGCUAAAUUGCAGCAGGGAGAUGGAGUCUUUGAAGGAAAAAUGUUUGCUCUCGCGGUUCUAGAUCAUCUUUGACCUAGCACCGUGGCCAGUCAUUUAGGUGCUUACAGUUUUUGAAGGUUUGAAGGCUUAGUGUCUGUUUUAAAUCCAUUCCACCACUUGCUUUCAUCUGUGUUCUUCUCGUUACUCUGUUGCGCAAGGACCAACUGAGGUUUGGGCAUGCUUAAUUAGUUUCUUUACAUAUUAAAUGUAAUAUGGUUAGAAAUCAAACCUUUUAUUUAUACUGGAAGAACCUUUACCUCUAUGCACUGGAAAGGCAUAUUUUCUCUCAUGUAGUUUUUAUCCACUAGUUCCUUGAGCUUUUAUAAGACGUGUUCCCAAACAGAAAUGUGAUACAAGGCUCUUUGAUGUACAUACAUAACUUGGAAAUAAAGCUGAUGGCUCCGAAUUCACACACAUUAAGUUUGCCGGUGUUGUACGCUUCGAUGAUCGAUGUAAGAUUGAAGGUGUGUAUUUGGAUUUGUUCUCAAAAUGUAUGACAGGAAAGGAUAGUAGGAAUUCUGCAGAUUCAUAGAUUUUCCUUUGCGCAGAAUAUAUAAAGAUAUGUGAUUUAUCUUCUAAUAUGUUGACGUCAUAAGCACCUAAUUUAUUGCCCACGGUCAAUUGUGGUUUUUCGAAUUUUUUCGUUUUGGA